AGUAGGUGAAGGCAUUGGACAACCUAAAGCAUGUGAUCAGUCUACGUGUUUGUGUGAUGAUGAACCUAUAGGUAGAAAUAUGUCAAAUGUAUUCUGCAUUUCACAAUUAUCACUUUUCCUCAAAGUUCUGAGAUGUAAACACAGAAUAAAAAAUUUAAAAAAAAAACAAGAAUUGCAAGAUAUAAACUAAAAAUUGCAUGAGAAAAAAAGUUAGAAUUGCGAGAUAUAAAUUCUGAAUUCAUACUCUUUUCCUUAAAUUCUUAAUUUCCUUAGAAUCUCACACAUUUCAGUUUUUUGUUUCUACCAAAGGAUAAAAAUAAAAAAGGUAUUUCUCUUUUUUAAAUUAAAAUGUUCACAAUUUCAAAUUUAUUUCAAAGUUUGUCACGCAAUAAAAAAAACAAACAAAAAAACAACAACAACACAUAAUUCAGACAUUUUUCUUAUAACUGACUUUAUAUCUCACAAGUCUGCAUUGUGAGGUAAAAAGUAGCAAUAACCUUUUUAAUAUUUCUAUCCUAUAACAGAAACAAGCUUCCAUACUAAUCAGGAAUUUCAGAAAAUAUAAAAAUACAAAAUAAAUCAUCAGAGAAAAAUAUUCAGCUUAUGAGAAUGCAUUAAAUCUUUUCCAAUUCUCCUUUCCCCAGAAGUUCUGCAGAACUGCACGAUAAAAGAUUUUAAUGUGACCAUCUGCCCCUUCUACACCUCAGUUGAAAAGGAUUCGGACUUGACUUUGACCUGCAUUCAUAAUGUUCCCAACGCCUCCAUCAGCUGGCUAGAGGACGAUGUGUUACAGCAAGUAGAAGAUAAUACAAAAACAUUUCAUAUCAAGCGCAUUAAGAAAACCUCAGUCAUCAGCUGCAACGUUAGUAGCAUGUGUGGGAGCUUCAACUCUACGAUAACAAUUUAUGUAAAAGAUGGUGAUUUUAUGCUGGUUUUACUGAUCUGUGUUGGAGCAGCAGCUGCUCUCCUCAUGCUGUUUGCACUAGUCAUGAAGAUCAAGCUCAAGAAAGGACAAGCUCGGAGUCAGGCCAGGAAGAGACAAAGACAGCAGAACCUGCAGAACUUCGACAGCACCGUGAACACCGUCAGCAGCUACUACUGA
rnacentral:lncRNA from 1 species